rnacentral:rRNA from 1 species
GACGAACGCUGGCGGCGUGCCUAAUACAUGCAAGUAGAACGCACAGUUUAUACCGUAGCUUGCUACACCAUAAACUGUGAGUUGCGAACGGGUGAGUAACGCGUAGGUAACCUGCCUGGUAGCGGGGGAUAACUAUUGGAAACGAUAGCUAAUACCGCAUAAUAUUGAUUAUUGCAUGAUAAUUGAUUGAAAGAUGCUAUUGCAUCACUACCAGAUGGACCUGCGUUGUAUUAGCUAGUAGGUGAGGUAACGGCUCACCUAGGCGACGAUACAUAGCCGACCUGAGAGGGUGAUCGGCCACACUGGGACUGAGACACGGCCCAGACUCCUACGGGAGGCAGCAGUAGGGAAUCUUCGGCAAUGGACAAAAGUCUGACCGAGCAACGCCGCGUGAGUGAAGAAGGUUUUCGGAUCGUAAAGCUCUGUUGUAAGAGAAGAACGGGUGUGAGAGUGGAAAGUUCACACUGUGACGGUAGCUUACCAGAAAGGGACGGCUAACUACGUG